GGCGCAGUGGCAGAGUGGUCUAAUGCGAUAGACUAGAAAUCUAUUCUCUUCGGAGGCGUCUGUUCGAAUCAGGCCUGCGUCG
rfam:Fusarium oxysporum f. sp. cubense tropical race 4 54006 unplaced genomic scaffold supercont1.37, whole genome shotgun sequence.